UGUGAACUCGAAGAGUAGGGCGGGACACGUGGUAUCCUGUCUGAAUAUGGGGGGACCAUCCUCCAAGGCUAAAUACUCCUGACUGACCGAUAGUGAACCAGUACCGUGAGGGAAAGGCGAAAAGAACCCCGGCGAGGGGAGUGAAAAAGAACCUGAAACCGUGUACGUACAAGCAGUGGGAGCACCUUCGGGUGUGACUGCGUACCUUUUGUAUAAUGGGUCAGCGACUUAUAUUCUGUAGCAAGGUUAACCGUAUAGGGGAGCCGCAGGGAAACCGAGUCUUAACUGGGCGUUAAGUUGCAGGGUAUAGACCCGAAACCCGGUGAUCUAGCCAUGGGCAGGUUGAAGGUUGGGUAACACUAACUGGAGGACCGAACCGACUAAUGUUGAAAAAUUAGCGGAUGACUUGUGGCUGGGGGUGAAAGGCCAAUCAAACCGGGAGAUAGCUGGUUCUCCCCGAAAGCUAUUUAGGUAGCGCCUCGUGAAUUCAUCUUCGGGGGUAGAGCACUGUUUCGGCUAGGGGGUCAUCCCGACUUACCAACCCGAUGCAAACUACGAAUACCGAAGAAUGUUAUCACGGGAGACACACGGCGGGUGCUAACGUCCGUCGUGAAGAGGGAAACAACCCAGACCGCCAGCUAAGGUCCCAAAGUCAUGGUUAAGUGGGAAACGAUGUGGGAAGGCACAGACAGCCAGGAUGUUGGCUUAGAAGCAGCCAUCAUUUAAAGAAAGCGUAAUAGCUCACUGGUCGAGUCGGCCUGCGCGGAAGAUGUAACGGGGCUAAACCAUGCACCGAAGCUGCGGCAGCGACACUAUGUGUUGUUGGGUAGGGGAGCGUUCUGUAAGCCUGCGAAGGUGUGCUGUGAGGCAUGCUGGAGGUAUCAGAAGUGCGAAUGCUGACAUAAGUAACGAUAAAGCGGGUGAAAAGCCCGCUCGCCGGAAGACCAAGGGUUCCUGUCCAACGUUAAUCGGGGCAGGGUGAGUCGACCCCUAAGGCGAGGCCGAAAGGCGUAGUCGAUGGGAAACAGGUUAAUAUUCCUGUACUUGGUGUUACUGCGAAGGGGGGACGGAGAAGGCUAUGUUAGCCGGGCGACGGUUGUCCCGGUUUAAGCAUGUAGGCUGGUUGUCCAGGCAAAUCCGGAUAAUCAAGGCUGAGGUGUGAUGACGAGGCACUACGGUGCUGAAGUAACAAAUGCCCUGCUUCCAGGAAAAGCCUCUAAGCAUCAGGUAACAUCAAAUCGUACCCCAAACCGACACAGGUGGUCAGGUAGAGAAUACCAAGGCGCUUGAGAGAACUCGGGUGAAGGAACUA
rnacentral:rRNA from 1 species